rnacentral:misc_RNA from 1 species
CGCACAUUGCGCCCUUUGGCAUUCCGAAGGGCAUGCCCGUUCGAGCGUCAUUAAAUCCAAUCAAGCCUGGCUUGGUAUUGGGCGUCGGGGCUCCCGUGCCUCAAUUUCACCGGCUGGCCGUGGCCUGUUGUAGCGUUGUGACACAAUCUCGCUAACAAUUGACCCGGACUACGCCGUUAAGCCACACGAAUUUCCAUCGAAAUUUGAUUAAGGUUGACCUCGGAUCGGGUAGGAAUACCCGCUGAACUUAA